UACUUCAACAACAACAGCUAGUCAGACACCUCGGUAGCAUCCAAGCCGAAACAUUCAAGCUAUUCAGACUGCUUCGGUGUAUAUUUGCCUCUGUAUUUGAAACAUACAACAAUUGUAUGUCUUUUAACGAGUUUCCCCGUUUAAUGUCAUAUUUCCGUUUAGUCAGGUAACAGUAGCUGGCUUGAUAAAUUAGCCUAUCACUAGGCUAGUCGCUAACUAGCUAGGUUAGCAGGCUAACAUCACUGACCAUGAGUUCACCAAGCUACUCUCCUCCUGCUGAAGAAGAGGAGGUCUGCUGGACGGAGAAAGAAGGUAUUUGGCUGAACAUUGUCGUGAAAGAGGAGAAUGAAGGGGAGGAUGUUACAGUAAACGAAGAAGUAGAGGGUGAGGCUGUUACAGAGAGAAAGAAGAAGAAGACUCGUUCAGAGUGAAAGAGGAGGAGGAUGUUACAGUAAAAGAAGAGGAGGGAGCUGUCUUAAAAACAGGAGCAAAACUAUUGUUGAACUGGUGCAUGGUUUUAAAGCGGCACUCUACUGAAUGUUUAUGCUUGAAUGUGUUAUUAUUUAAUGUAGGAAUUGAUAACUACACUGUAAGAUGUGUAUACCACCAAAGAGUGUGUCACCAACAAAACCUUAACAAUGGAUUAGCACAUUCACAACUUUAAUGUCACUCAGAAUUGAUAAACAAGAUAGAAAUGACAGGGGAUGUGUGUUACUAUAGUAACCCGUGGGGGGUGAUGCGUGUUGCUAUAGUAACCCGUGUGGUGGGGUGAUGUGUGUUGCUAUAGUAACCUGUGGGGGGUGAUGUGUGUUGCUAUAGUAACCAGUGGGGGGUGAUGUGUGUUGCUAUAGUAACCUGUGGGGGGAGUGAACACCCAGACAGUGGACAUCUUUGAAAACAAAACCAGGAAGAAACUUCAUCGUUACCCAGAAAGGAUUUAAUGUUGAGAUUAAAAACGACUGCUGUUGGCCCUUUAAUGAGAGAGACCAGACUCUGACAGCGGGAAGAGUUCCUCAGAGGAAACAGACCCGGAGACGCCUAACCAACACCACUGGUCCCACUGUGGAAAGAGUUUUAGGUGGUUAGGGAGCCUGAAAAUUCACGAGAGAAUACAUACAGGAGAAAAGCCCUACCACUGUUCCCACUGUAGAAAUUAUUUUACUCAGUUUGGGGCCCUGGUUGGGCAUGAGAGAACACACACAGGAGAGAAGCCUUAUCACUGCUCCCACUGUGGAAAGAGUUUUAGGUGUUUAGAGGACAACUUGAAGAAAACAGCUAGCUACAUUUAGAAGUGUUGCAUUUUGAUUCAAGUGGGUCACCAACAUGGUAAGUGUAACACAACUCUAUUUGUGUUAGUCACUUUUUGCUAAAUCUCAUAAAUAGUACUCUUUCAAUUCAGAGCCUGGAUUUUCCCCCUGAGGCUUAUAUCACGCUGAAAUCAAUUGAAUGGGGAAAACGUUUAGGGUUCUACAUUGUGAAAUUACUUAAAAUACUCCUACUUCAAUGUUAAAACAUUCUACAUUGUGACAUUAAUUCAUUGAUAUCACAAAAUAACUCCUUCAUGUACUGACCACAGCUAUAAGGUUUCUCUCCUGUGUGUGUUCUCUGGUGUGAUGUCAGCUGGCCGGAUCGACCAAAACUCUUCCCACAUUGACCACAGCUAUAAGGUUUCUCUCCUGUGUGUGUUCUCUUGUGUAGAGUCAGAUGGCCAGAUGUAGUAAACCUCUUUCCACAUUGAUCACAGCUAUAAGAUUUCUCUCCUGUGUGUGUUCUCUGGUGAAUUUUAAUGCCUGAUGAGGUGAAUCUCUUCCCACAGUCAGAGCAGCAGUGAGUUCUCUUCCCUGUGGAUCUCUGCAGGUGUUUGAGGAUUUCUGAUCUGGAUGGACUCUUCUCUGCCUCUUCAGCAUCAUGUGGUUGUUGAGGCUCCCCAGAGGAUCCACAAUAGUCCCGUAUCUCUCCUGUGUGAACAACAAAGUCACACAGAUGACUAAAGGCCCACAACAGAGGGGCAGUCAAGAAAUGGAACGACAAGGCCACAGAACAUGACAUAAACAGAGCUGUGGGAGACCACCUCAAGCCCCUGGUAGAGCCUGGGGUGGUGUUUACCACUCCACCACGCCUUCAGCAGGCUGGAAAAGUGGGAUUGAUCUGUUUGUUUCAAUUGUCAGAAAUUUAAUUAUUUGACAUGGGAUUGGUACUGAUUUUCAUACUAAGAGGGACCAAUAGUCUGAUGAUUGGUCAGUCAUUGGGUUCAUUUGUUGAAGUCAAAUCAAACUUUAUUUAUACAGACAUGGAUGCAACACAAUGGCUUCACAGGAAAAAACAAUGAAAAUAAGCAGAAAUAUUUAGUACAGAAGAUAAGAGGAUAAAAAACAGAAGACUAAUGAGCAUUUAUGGAAAUGCCAUUGAUUACAUUAUAAAUUGGAUGCAACAUCCAACCCAACAUAUAAGCUUGUUUUCUAGGUUGGGUUCUGAAAGACACUAUGGGGGUGUCCACUGAAAGUUGACUAGUAACAACAACUGGGACC